CCAAGUGAUGGGGUGACGCAGUGGGGUAGCCGCGCCACUUAUUGGAUUGUGGUGUAAGCGUGUGGCACGAGGGGAGUGGUAAAUCCGCCCCUCAUUGUGUGUGAGGCGUGAUGCGUAGCCCUUUUGGGGUGAAUGUGGUGAUCCCGUACUGUCGAGAAAAGCCUCUAGCGAUGUAUGUAUAUGGCCCGUACCCUAAACCGACACAGGUAGUCAGGUAGAGAAUACUAAGGCGUUCGGGUGAACUGUGGUUAAGGAACUCGGCAAAAUGCCCCCGUAACUUCGGGAGAAGGGGGGCCACUGUUGGUGAUAGAACAUUUCGUUUUUGAGCUGGUGGUGGUCGCAGAGAAUAGAGGGAAGCGACUGUUUAUUAAAAACACAGGUCCGUGCGAAAACGUUGAAGUUGAGGUAUACGGACUGACGCCUGCCCGGUGCUGGAAGGUUAAGAGGACCUGUUAGAUCCCUUUGGGGGUCGAAGCGGAGAAUUUAAGCCCCAGUAAACGGCGGUGGUAACUAUAACCAUCCUAAGGUAGCGAAAUUCCUUGUCGGGUAAGUUCCGACCUGCACGAAUGGCGUAACGACUUCCCUGCUGUCUCAACCACAGGCCCGGUGAAAUUGCAGUACGAGUAAAGAUGCUCGUUACGCGCGGCAGGACGAAAAGACCCCGGGACCUUCACUAUAGCUUGGUAUUGGUGUUCGGUUCGGUUUGUGUAGGAUAGGUGGGAGACUGUGAUCAUGUGACGCUAGUUGUGUGUGAGUCGUUGUUGAAAUACCACUCUGAUCGGAUUGGAUACCUGAACCUUGGCCCAUGAUCUGGGUUGGGGACAGUGCCUGGUGGGUAGUUUAACUGGGGCGGUUGCCUCCCAAAAUGUAACGGAGGCGCCCAAAGGUUCCCUCAGCCUGGUUGGUAAUCAGGUGGUGAGUGUAAGUGCACAAGGGAGCUUGACUGUGAGAGUGACAACUCGAGCAGGGACGAAAGUCGGGACUAGUGAUCCGGCACCUACUUGUGGAAGUGGUGUCGCUCAACGGAUAAAAGGUACCCCGGGGAUAACAGGCUGAUCUUCCCCAAGAGUCCAUAUCGACGGGAUGGUUUGGCACCUCGAUGUCGGCUCGUCGCAUCCUGGGGCUGGAGUAGGUCCCAAGGGUUGGGCUGUUCGCCCAUUAAAGCGGCACGCGAGCUGGGUUUAGAACGUCGUGAGACAGUUCGGUCUCUAUCCGCCGCGCGCGUAGAAACUUGUGGAAGGCUGUCCCUAGUACGAGAGGACCGGGACGGGCGUACCUCUAGUGUGCCAGUUGUUCCGCCAGGGGCAGGGCUGGUUGGCUACGUACGGAAGGGAUAACCGCUGAAAGCAUCUAAGCGGGAAGCCUGUUUCGAGAUGAGGUUUCGUGUGAGGUCCCCUGUAGAUGACGGGGUUGAUAGGCCAGAUCUGGAAGCAUUGUAAGGUGUGGAGGUGACUGGUACUAAUAGACCAAC
rnacentral:rRNA from 1 species